GACGUAGGUGGCCAGCGUUGUUCGGAAUUACUGGGCGUAAAGGGCGCGUAGGCGGCCUUCUAAGUCGAACGUGAAAUCCCUGGGCUCAACCCAGGAACUGCGUCCGAUACUGGAAGGCUUGAAUCCGGGAGAGGGAUGCGGAAUUCCAGGUGUAGCGGUGAAAUGCGUAGAUAUCUGGAGGAACACCGGUGGCGAAGGCGGCAUCCUGGACCGGUAUUGACGCUGAGGCGCGAAAGCCAGGGGAGCAAACGGG
rnacentral:rRNA from 1 species